AUUGAACGCUGGCGGCAGGCCUAACACAUGCAAGUCGAGCGAGCGGCGGACGGGUGAGUAAUGUAUGGGAAUCUGCCCGAUGGAGGGGGAUAACUACUGGAAACGGUAGCUAAUACCGCAUACCAUCGGAUGUGCCCAGAUGGGAUUAGCUAGUAGGUGGGGUAAAGGCUCACCUAGGCGACGAUCCCUAGCUGGUCUGAGAGGAUGACCAGCCACACUGGGACUGAGACACGGCCCAGACUCCUACGGGAGGCAGCAGUGGGGAAUAUUGCACAAUGGGCGCAAGCCUGAUGCAGCCAUGCCGCGUGUAUGAAGAAGGCCUUCGGGUUGUAAAGUACUUUCAGCGGGGAGGCGUUACCCGCAGAAGAAGCACCGGCUAACUCCGUGCCAGCAGCCGCGGUAAUUC
rnacentral:rRNA from 1 species